rnacentral:rRNA from 1 species
GACGAACGCUGGCGGCGUGCCUAAUACAUGCAAGUUGAGCGCUGAAGGUUGGUACUUGUACCAACUGGAUGAGCAGCGAACGGGUGAGUAACGCGUGGGGAAUCUGCCUUUGAGCGGGGGACAACAUUUGGAAACGAAUGCUAAUACCGCAUAAAAACUUUAAACACAAGUUUUAAGUUUGAAAGAUGCAAUUGCAUCACUCAAAGAUGAUCCCGCGUUGUAUUAGCUAGUUGGUGAGGUAAAGGCUCACCAAGGCGAUGAUACAUAGCCGACCUGAGAGGGUGAUCGGCCACAUUGGGACGGAGACACGGCCCAAACUCCUACGGGAGGCAGCAGUAGGGAAUCUUCGGCAAUGGACGAAAGUCUGACCGAGCAACGCCGCGUGAGUGAAGAAGGUUUUCGGAACGUAAAACUCUGUUGGUAGAGAAGAACGUUGGUGAGAGUGGAAAGCUCAUCAAGUGACGGUAACUACCCAGAAAGGGACGGCUAACUACGUG